rnacentral:piRNA from 2 species
UCUUAUAUAGGCACGAAUCCCUUCAUGGGGGU